rnacentral:rRNA from 1 species
GACGAACGCUGGCGGCGUGCUUAACACAUGCAAGUCGAAUGAUGAAGCCGGAGCUUGCUCUGGUGAAUUAGUGGCGAACGGGUGAGUAACACGUGAGUAACCUGCCCUUGACUCUGGGAUAACUGCUAGAAAUGGUAGCUAAUACCGGAUACGACCCUCGGAGGCAUCUUCAGGGGGUGGAAAGAAUUUCGGUCAAGGAUGGACUCGCGGCCUAUCAGCUAGUUGGUGAGGUAAUGGCUCACCAAGGCGACGACGGGUAGCCGGCCUGAGAGGGUGACCGGCCACACUGGGACUGAGAGACGGCCCAGACUCCUACGGGAGGCAGCAGUGGGGAAUAUUGCACAAUGGGCGCAAGCCUGAUGCAGCAACGCCGCGUGAGGGAUGACGGCCUUCGGGUUGUAAACCUCUUUUAGUAGGGAAGAAGCGAAAGUGACGGUACCUGCAGAAAAAGCACCGGCUAACUACGUGCCAGCCGCCGCCGUAA